CGGAGGGGGCCUCCAGACACCCGGGGGGUCCCUCACCCUCCGCUGCAAGGCCUCCGGCUUCACCUUCAGCAGCUUCACCAUGGGAUGGGUGCGACAGGCCCCCGGGAAGGGGCUGGAGUACGUCGCGGGUAUUGAGAGUGAUGGUGGUGACACAGGGUACGUCCCACCAGUCAACUCAAACUCUUCCCGCAUCCCAACACGUUGAUGGAACCCUUUGCCCCCAGCCUCAACCCCCCUGUCCUGCAUCCCAACAUUCCGGCGCCUUCCCCACACCCCCGCACCCACCACAGACCCCCGCGGGGUGCCCAGAACCCUUGAACGGGCCCCCAAAAUCUACCCUGAGCCAUGGACCCUGUCCCAGGACGUGUCCUGCCAGGGCUCCGGCUUCACCUUCAGCAGCGUCGGCAUGGCUUGGGUGCGACAGGCCCCCGGGAAGGGGCUCGAGUCUGUCGCGAGUAUUUACAGUGAUGGUAGUGGCACCGACUACGCGCCGUCGGUCAAGGGGCGCUUCACCAUCUCCAGGGACAACUCCCAGAGCACGCUCACGCUGCAGAUGAACAGCCUCCGGGACGACGACACGGCCACCUACUACUGCGCGAAAUGUGCUGAUGGUGGUUGUGGUGCUGGUAAUGCUGAUGGUGAUGCUUAUGGUGGUGGCACCAACCCCAGCCCCAUGGAACAACAUCCCUGUGCUGUGUCCCCAAAUCAACCACUAUUAACCCAAACCUGAAGCAUUUGCCACAAACCUCGACCACUUUUGCCCCAAACCUCAACCGGUUGCAGCAAACCCUGACCGAUUUCUCACCAGACCUCCAUGGUUUGACCCAACUCUCGACCGUUUGCCACAAACCUUGACGAUUUGCACCAAAUCUUGACCAUUUUUGCGUCAAACCUCAAAUGAUUGGCACCAAACCUCGACCAUUUCUGCCCCAAACCUCCUCCCUUCUCGACCCAAACCUUCAGUGCUCUCCACCAAUAUCUUGAACACUUCUGCUCCAAACCUUGACCACUUAUCCCGAACCUGACCAUUUGUGCCCUAAACCUCGAGGGCUUUUGUCCCAAGUAUCAUCCGCUUGCCCAAAUCUCAACCAU